AAUCAGCUUCAGCAGAAUGAAC
rnacentral:snRNA from 1 species